UACGUAGGGUGCGAGCGUUAAUCGGAAUUACUGGGCGUAAAGCGUGCGCAGGCGGUUGUGCAAGACAGAUGUGAAAUCCCCGGGCUCAACCUGGGAACUGCAUUUGUGACUGCAAGGCUAGAGUACGGCAGAGGGGGAUGGAAUUCCGCGUGUAGCAGUGAAAUGCGUAGAUAUGCGGAGGAACACCAAUGGCGAAGGCAAUCCCCUGGGCCUGUACUGACGCUCAUGCACGAAAGCGUGGGGAGCAAACAGG
rnacentral:rRNA from 1 species